rnacentral:rRNA from 1 species
UACGUAAGAGACUAGUGUUAUUCAUCUUAAAUAGGUUUAAAGGGUACUUAGACGGUAAAGAAUACUUUAUAAUAAGAACGUUUACUAGAGUUUUAUGGGGGAAGAUAGUACAAAUGGAGUAGCGAUAAAAUGUGUUAAUACCAAAAAUUGGACUGGCAACGGCGUAGGCGAUCUUCUAUGUAAAAACUGACGUUGAAGGACGAAGGCAUAGGGCGCGAACAGG